AACUACUAGGGGAGCCUAAUUAAUUGGCUGAGAUGAAGAUUCAGACCCUUAUGACCUGAUUUGGUUAGUACCAACGUAGGAAAGUAGUCA
rnacentral:ncRNA from 1 species